GUUUCGGGGGAGUCGUGGUCGGAGGACAUGGUGCCAUGGAGAAAACAAUGCAGGGAGCAGAGCAUGACGGCACAGACUGGCCCUGGCAGCUGGCGGUUCCCCUGCUGCAUGCACACCAUGGUUGUGCAACACAAAAUGUCCUUCUCCCAGGUACCGAAAAAUAUUCUCAGUGGAUCCUAUUCAUGGUGAAUGCAUGGCAGUGCAUCCUGGGAGCCAUUCUGGCACCCCAGGAGAUGAGGUCUUGCCAAGAAAUGCAGCCACAGAUGAAAGUGAAGACAGGAAGCAAUUUGCCUACAGCUCCCAUGAGACCCUGUGACAACAGUUCAAAGUGUUUUUAAUAUAUAUUUUAUAUGCAAUAAAUUUGUUAAUUUUC